rnacentral:rRNA from 1 species
GUACACUCCUACGGGAGGCAGCAGUGGGGAAUUUUGGACAAUGGGCGAAAGCCUGAUCCAGCCAUGCCGCGUGCAGGAUGAAGGCCUUCGGGUUGUAAACUGCUUUUGUACGGAACGAAACGGCCUUUUCUAAUAAAGAGGGCUAAUGACGGUACCGUAAGAAUAAGCACCGGCUAACUACGUGCCAGCAGCCGCGGUAAUACGUAGGGUGCAAGCGUUAAUCGGAAUUACUGGGCGUAAAGCGUGCGCAGGCGGUUAUGUAAGACAGUUGUGAAAUCCCCGGGCUCAACCUGGGAACUGCAUCUGUGACUGCAUAGCUAGAGUACGGUAGAGGGGGAUGGAAUUCCGCGUGUAGCAGUGAAAUGCGUAGAUAUGCGGAGGAACACCGAUGGCGAAGGCAAUCCCCUGGACCUGUACUGACGCUCAUGCACGAAAGCGUGGGGAGCAAACAGGAUUAGAAACCCUGGUAGUCCCA